CCUUUUUCACUACUGUUCUCUUUUCUUCCUUCGAAAAGCUUUUUUUUUUUUUCGAAACUUGGACAUACCGGCAUUGACCUUUCUCUCUAGUCUCUCUUUUCUCCAAAACCUUCCCCUCCCACUCCUUCUCAAACUUUUAAUGCCACCCCACCCCACCAUCUCUUCACUUUCCUUAAACUUCUCAUCGAGCCAGAGCUCACCCCGUCCUCCAACAUCGUCGUGUCCCCUCAUCGCACCACCACCCAACCUAGACCCCAACAUCAGUCACGUGCAACACCACCCACCGCCUCGCCACCCAACCCACGAUACCGGCAUGCGCAACCCAUGAUGUUCGAAGUUGGUCGGCAGGACAGCGUUAGAGUCAUGGUUACUAUUCAUACUCUGUUCACGGUCAUGGUAGGUACUCUUUAAUUUGAUAUGUAUUUUAUUCUGAGAUGAGAUUGCAUUGAGUGAUUUGAUCUGUUUGGAAAAAAUGCAAUUUUUUUGUGAAAUUUCAUCUCUGCGUUUGCUUCAUCUAUUUAAUCUGGUUUAUUGGAACUGUUCACCUUCUUCCUUUGCUUCAUCACUUUGUUAUUCUUGUGGUUGGGGAGUAAAAAUUCUAUGAAAAUAAUAGUUUUUUUUGUGUAAGAAACAGUUCCUUAUAUAAAGGAAUGCACUUUCCGUUGAAGAAACCAAUUCUGCCAUGUUAUUUUGCUCCAACGCCGAAGAACUCAAAAGAAAUCGAAAUCGUUCCUUAGGCUAAGAAACCAAAGAAGCAUCUCUGAUUGGAGAUGCUCUGACUAGAUGUAGAGCUCACAAAAUAGAUCAGUGGGUUCAGAGUGUGAAAAACGAACUGAGUUGAAUUAGUCCAUAUUCUAUAUAAACCUUAUUUUUAGAAGUCCAGUGAGGGUUGGUGGCCUAUUGGACUGUUUCACAUUGGGUCAUUUAUUUUACUUUUUUUAGACUAAAUUUAUAUAUAUAUUUUUUAAAAAAUAUUGGGUCAAAAUUAUAUGUCCGUUUGAAUUUAGACCCAUGAUUUUUUACUCCAGCAUAAUGGGUUGGCCUUAUUUGUAUCAAUAGUGUGUAUUUUGUUAAGAUAAAUAAUAUCAAUCGUCAAUAUUUAUUAAUGAGAUUAUGAUUGAAAAAUAAAUAUAUAUAAAUGUUUUAUUUUACUGAAGUAAUUUAGUUAGCAUUUUGUUGUAGACUAAAUUUUCAAUGUACUUUGCGUUUCAUUUUGCUCAAAUAAAAAUCACAACUCUUUUUUAUUGUGUAUACUUUGACAACAUAACAUAUAAUUAAUUGUGUAGGACAACAUCCAGAUAAUAUUAUUAGUUAUUUUUGUUUAAGUUUCAUUGCUCUUUUAUUAAUCCUCCAAUUAAUUACACCAAGAAUUAAUUGUCAAUAUUAACAAUAUUAUCAUUUUUUAAACGAGUGGUCAUUGUUGUCUAUGUGAUAUCUACACAGUAACAUUCCGAUAAUGAAUCACACCGAAAAAAGAGGAAUCCAACGAUUGGAUAGGUAUGAAACUAUAAAGUUAAGAAUAAUUUAAAUAAAUUAAUUGGUAUAAUCUAUAUCAAGAAGAUACAUCUAUUUUUUUGGUAGUUUAUCAGUUAAAAACUCCAAAACUAAAUGUGUUUGACUUGAAAUAGUAACAGGAUGUGUGAUCUUCCAAAAAAAAAAUUAGAAAGUGUGUAAGUGAGGAUAAAAUAGGUUGAAAUUAUUGUGUUGAUUUGUGGAGACAAUCAUUAAUCUUGAAAGCAACAGAAACAGAUUGUCGAGGUCUCGAAAAUUUAUUGUAAUAGAAAAUCAACCCGUAUCAAUCAAUCAAAUUUAUUGAAUAAAUAAUAUUACCCAUAAAAAAUAAAAAAAAAAGUAUAAUUUAUAUUUAGUGUGUACUAUUAAUGAAUUCAAAUUAGCAUAAGCAUAUAUGAUAUAUAAAUUAGCUACGAAAGAUUUCUUUAUUAGUUAAGCAAUUAUUAGUUAAGUAAUUUUUGAAACCACGAGUCACCACAUAAGGAAAUUUGACAUCAUACUCUAAUCCAAAACCUUAAGGCUCAGGUUUAUGAAUAUUCUCCUCACUUAUAUGAUACUCAAUCUUUCCACUUCUAUCCAAUGUGGGACUUUCCCUCAUACUUGUAUCUCAACAUUAUUUUACGUAUAUUUUUGGACAACUUUUGGAGUUGAAUUGAUGAGAAAAAUAUUUCAAAAAUGGAGAAAAAGUUGGAGGAUGUGUUUUGGUUUUGUAUGAUACUUUGCAAUAAAGGAUUCAGAGGAAGGUUGAAGCACAAUUGGACAAGGUAUAGAUAUAGGAACAUACAAAUUAAGGGCCAACAUGUCAAGAAUUAUAGAAAUAAAAAAAGAAGCAAGGUAAUAGGAGAAAAUAAUGUGAAACUACUUCAAACGAACAUUAAUAUUAUGACAACAUAAUGAACAAGAGAACUAAAAUAACAACAAAAAAUAGAAAAGAUGGAAUAGAUAGAAAAGGGGAAAGAAGGCGUUACACUCUUAGAAAGUGAUAAGUUAAAUAGGAAUUCACAACAAAGGUAUUGAAACCUUAGAUGAGAACCAAAAAGAGGGGGCAAUGGUCUACUCACACUUUAACAAGAGUAACUCUUUGAUAACUGCUAAAUAAUUGUAUUUUGAUAAUAGAAAAUAAGGCAAAAUUGUCUUUAAAAAUAAUUAUUUAGUAGUUAUUUGCGCUUAAAUAUUAAAGAAUUAAUGUUUUGUUGAAUUUUGACUGCAGAUAUAAAAACUGAAGGUGUAACAAGCAAAAAAAGUCAGAAAAAUUGAAGAAAAGAAGCAAAUUUGAAGUAGGCCCAGCCCAAUAUGCGCACUGAGCGUGCAAAGCAGCACAGACGCUAAGCGAGGCGUUAAGCUCGAAGAUGCAGAAUCCGUUACGCGCGCUAAGCGCGAGCCACACGCUAUGCGCGCGAUCCAACAGAAACACACGUUAAGCCUGCAGCGCUCGUUGAGCGCGCGAUCUGAACGCGCUAAGCACGAGGUGUCGCGCUAAGCGUGCCUACGAACGCCCAAAGCCCACUUCAACAACUAUAAACAGAGAGUCAGUCCAAGGGAGAAAACACAAGAACACCACGACAGAACCCUUUCUCCUAGGGGUUUUAUUUAUUCCCUUUUUUUCUUUCACCCCCUUCUCAUUGUAAAACCCUCAAUGGCCAUUAGUGGCGAAACCCUUAGUUAGGGCCUGACAGGCCUAGAAGCCAAUGCGAUGUAUGAUGUACUCUUCACUAUUUAUCAAUGCAAUACCAG
rnacentral:lncRNA from 1 species